rnacentral:rRNA from 1 species
UACGUAGGUGGCGAGCGUUGUCCGGAUUUAUUGGGUUUAAAGGGUGCGUAGGCGGGUAAGUAAGUCAGUGGUGAAAUCUCCGGGCUUAACUCGGAAACUGCCGUUGAUACUAUUUAUCUUGAAUAUCAUGGAGGUAAGCGGAAUAUGUCAUGUAGCGGUGAAGUGCUUAGAUAUGACAUAGAACACCGAUAGCGAAGGCAGCUUACUACAUGUUAAUUGACGCUGAGGCACGAAAGCGUGGGGAGCAAACAGG